rnacentral:rRNA from 1 species
UACGGAGGGUGCGAGCGUUGUCCGGAAUCACUGGGCGUAAAGGGCGCGUAGGCGGCCUGGCAAGUCGAUGGUGAAAGCCCGAGGCUCAACUUCGGGUCGGCCACUGAUACUGCUGGGCUUGAGUCGACUAGAGGCAGAUGGAAUUCCGGGUGUAGCGGUGGAAUGCGUAGAGAUCCGGAAGAACACCGGUGGCGAAGGCGCUCUGCUAGGCCGCAACUGACACUGAGGGACGAAAGCUAGGGGAGCGAAUGGG